rnacentral:lncRNA from 15 species
AUGAUCAGCCUAUAUCCAGUCAAGCCACACAGUAAAGUGGACUAUUCACACCAUCCUGCACCAGGCAGCUGGGAGACCUGCAAGGAGAAGUUGCAGUAUUUUAAUUUCAAGCUGCUACUGGCUGAAGAAAUGCUUUCCCAGUUACAUUGUGGUGCACAUCUACCAACUAGCUGCAUGUGAAACUAAGAGAACAGAGGUACACAUGCACACAUUUGCACAUGCUCUUUCAGAGAUACACCACUUUGUCUGCAGCUAGGUACUCUUGUACUCUUAUGAAUGUCCAUAACAAUACCUGCAAGCAAUAUACAAACAUGCAUAUCUAUAUAUACCUCAUCAUAAAUCCCCCUUCUUCUUCUGUAUAGUCUUUCCCUCUGCACCAUGAGACCACGCAACAGAGAGCUCUAGAGUAACUAGUCCGACCACCAAGCCUUUACUAAUUGUAACCUACUGGAGUAUGAUGCCACUUUGUUUUAAAGUGAGCGUGGUUAGUCAUUAGUUUCCAGGAUAUUAGAACAUUUCCAACAGGACCAAAACACAUUUUUAUCUUGUUUGAGGGGGACAUAAAUUAGAUUGUGUAAUCUCAUCAAACGUGGAGAAGUUGUGAUGCAUUUGGUGAAACGGCUUUGCACUCUAGAGCGCACUUUAUCAAGUUUUAUCUACCACAGGGGCAGGGGCGCCAUAUAGGGGGGGAAAGUUCCAAGGGCCCAUGACUGACAGGGCCCCCAAAAAAUAGGUAAAAACUAAUAUAAAAUUAUUAAAUCAUCAUCAUUCAGUAUAUAUAUUUCAAAUAUAAUAAUAAUACAAUUAAUGAUCUCUUUGUUUUUACUUGUUUUUGGCAGUAAAAGUUAAAUAUCCCCAUUGACCAAAAAGUAAACGUCCAUAUUGACAGACCACCCCCCUGUAUCUGCAUGAAAUGGUUUGGUCCUGCCUUAGCGCACUUAUCAGUGAUGGUGUUUAGUUGCAGUCAGUAGAUGAGCCAGAACUACAGUGAUCACAAUGUUAACUAGUAAAUCAAAAUCUGGGUUUCAAAAUAGUAAAGAGAGAAAAGAGAGAGAGGAAAGACAAAGGAAAGGAUGUCAAUCUGUAACCCAGUGUUUCACCAAGAAAGGAGCCUAUAGUCUGUGAGUGGUGUUAACCUGUUGGCUUAAUGUCCAUAGGGAAAUAAGAUAGCCAGCUACAGACUAGUGUCAGCCUACAUUUAAUCACCAUUUAAUCAGUUCAGGGAAACGUUUAGCAACAUAUUCAUAUUAAAUCAUUGUCCCUGCCCCUUUUAGCAGACUUAACAACAGAUGAGUCAGCAGCACCCCAGUCCCCCCAUCACUGUACCCUCCCUGUCCCAGUGAAGAUGUCACUACUACUACCACUAUGUCUCAGGACAGGCUUUGCAGCCAUGUUGUCCAUUGAAAGUCAGUUGGCUAGAAAGCUAGACUUCAAAGACUUAUAAGUGACUUUGCUAGCAAGAAGGCUCGGUGCUGGGCUUUUGGUGACUCAGGCUGAGCGAGGGCCAGUGAUAGCUGUCAAAUGGCAUGGCUAUAGAGAUUGGAUAUUACUACAGACAUAAUGCCCACAGCCUAAACAAACUGAGAACAAGAUGUAUGGCUGGACUGCCAAAAAGGUGUUGAGCUGUUAUUUGAGAGUAAAGUUUGGGUUUCCAGGAGUCCUUUGUUCUUAUUUAUACCUUUUAAUUUGAUGUCACUACUGUUAGUUUGUUAAAACCAUAUUCCAAACCUCAAAACCUUUUGAUUUAGUGAUCACUUGGUCUGUUUUGUAGCACUAUAAUAACCCUGGUGUGGAAAUUCCAUUGUACAUGUCAACUUUAUUUUCUUGUCAUAUAUGAGCAGCUAAGUUCAAGAAUCUGCUGUUUUUAUUGUUUUGAGAGGAUGAUGUUAAUUUAAUUCUUUGAUUGAAAAGUUAAUAUAUAUUUAAGUUUGUUUGUUUUUCUUUUUUUAAAUCGUUCAUUAAUAAUAAUUAAUAAUAAUUAAUUUCGUUAAGAGAAUUUUCCAUUUUAAAAAUUUUACACUAAAAAUACAUUGAGACUGUAAAAGAUGGCCUUCAGCACAUUUUCUAUGGUUGCUUUUAAUUCUUGCAUCAAAUAGUGAACUGCAUACUGUAUGCAGACUUGCAUGCAUGUACAAAUCACCAGCAGUACAUAUUGUGCUAGUACUAGUAUUGAACUACAAGAAGCAAGACCGUUGCAAGCCUUUAAUUAGAGUUAUGUAAAGCUUUUGAUGGGACAGAGAUGUGGUGACAACAGCUGCGCAGAGGGGGCCCAAUUUGAUUUUUUUGUCAUGGGGCCCAAAAUUCCUGGCGGCGCCCCUGCAUAGGGGCAUACAUUUUUUUCAA